UACGUAGGGUGCGAGCGUUGUCCGGAAUUACUGGGCGUAAAGAGCUCGUAGGUGGUUUGUCGCGUUGUUCGUGAAAACUCACAGCUUAACUGUGGGCGUGCGGGCGAUACGGGCAGACUGGAGUACUGCAGGGGAGACUGGAAUUCCUGGUGUAGCGGUGAAAUGCGCAGAUAUCAGGAGGAACACCAAUGGCGAAGGCAGCUCGCUGGAACGGUACUGACGCUGAGGCGCGAAAGCGUGGGGAGCGAACAGG
rnacentral:rRNA from 1 species